GGGGCUGUAGCUCAGUGGUAGAGCAUUUGCUUCAGAGGUGUGAGGCCCUGGGUUCAAUCCUCAGCACCA
rnacentral:tRNA from 1 species